rnacentral:rRNA from 1 species
CGGCAACAUGAGCGCUUGCGCUUGAUGACGAGUGGCGCACGGGUGCGUAACGCGUAUGCAACCUACCCUUUACUGGGGGAUAGCCCGGAGAAAUUCGGAUUAAUACCCCAUGGUAUUAUUUGAUGGCAUCUGAAGAUAAUUAAAGAUUUAUUGGUAAAGGAUGGGCAUGCGUGACAUUAGUUAGUUGGUGAGGUAACGGCUCACCAAGACGAUGAUGUCUAGGGGUUCUGAGAGGAAGGUCCCCCACACUGGUACUGAGACACGGACCAGACUCCUACGGGAGGCAGCAGUAGGGAAUAUUGGUCAAUGGACGGAAGUCUGAACCAGCCAUGCCGCGUGCAGGAAGACAGCUUUCUGAGUUGUAAACUGCUUUUAUAUAGGAACAAAGAGGCCCUGCGGGGCAAGUUGCGUGUACUAUAUGAAUAAGCACCGGCUAACUCCGUGCCAGCAGCCGCGGUAAUACGGAGGGUGCAAGCGUUGUCCGGAUUUAUUGGGUUUAAAGGGUGCGUAGGUGGCUAAUUAAGUCAGUGGUGAAAGCCUGCAGCUCAACUGUAGAGGUGCCAUUGAUACUGAUUAGCUUGAGUAUGGACGAGGUAGGCGGAAUUUGUGGUGUAGCGGUGAAAUGCAUAGAUACCACAAAGAACACCGAUAGCGAAGGCAGCUUACUGGACCAUAACUGACACUGAGGCACGAAAGCGUGGGGAGCGAACAGGAUUAGAUACCCUGGUAGUCCACGCCGUAAACGAUGCUCACUCGAUGUAUGCGAUAUACUGUAUGCGUCCAAGCGAAAGCGUUAAGUGA